rnacentral:rRNA from 1 species
GACAUAGGUGGCAAACGUUAUCCGGAAUUAUUGGGCGUAAAGAGCUCGUAGGCGGUUUGUCGCGUCUGCUGUGAAAGACCGGGGCUCAACUCCGGUUCUGCAGUGGGUACGGGCAGACUAGAGUGCAGUAGGGGAGACUGGAAUUCCUGGUGUAGCGGUGAAAUGCGCAGAUAUCAGGAGGAACACCGAUGGCGAAGGCAGGUCUCUGGGCUGUAACUGACGCUGAGGAGCGAAAGCAUGGGGAGCGAACAGG